rnacentral:tRNA from 1 species
ACUCUUUUAGCUUAACGGUAGAGCAUAUUACUUCUAAUAAUAGUAUUCCAGUUCGAUUCUGGAAAGGAGUU